GAUGAAUAAAUCUGCUAGUGAUCAUCAUACCAAUUCAUAUGAAAGUUUUAAAAAACUGGAUAUCAAUUUCACUGCAUGCUACUCUUUGGGGGCUCCAAUCUUUAGAAGAGUUUGGACUCAACUUGGUAAACACAUUUUGAACCCAGUACACCUCUCAAGAAACAUCUUGAUGAGCAUGAUAUAGAGGGCAUACCUUGCCAAAGAGUAAAGAUAUAUAUUUUAUCUUUAAUGAGAAAAAUGCUGAUUUUUCAUGGGAUAAGAACAGGAAAUCCUUUUAGAAUCAUCAAGGGCAGCAUCAAAAUGGGAGAUAUAAGAUGGAAAGUUUGAUUUGCCUAGGAAGAGGAGAGUAAAAAUGCUCUUUGAGUUUCGGGAUUUGGAAAGAAAAAAUGCCCACUGCUUUGCUUGAGCCAAAAUCAAGGCUGUAAGACAGCUGAUAUGUUCAGUUGUUAAAUUAUAAGCAAUUCUAUACUGGUUGGUAUAAUAGCUGCUAUAUUUACCCUAUUCCUUUUGCUGGAAAUAGAAGAACUUCCAGUUAAGUAACUAACUGGUGAAUGCUCAGGAACUUCCAGGACCCUUUUCCAGCACUACAGCUUGCUUUAGUCCUGUUUCAUCUAUACCCAGAUUGUGUUAGCCCAGCUGGAACAUUCUGAGUUUAGGCCUGCCAAACAUGAGGUGGUAGAGUUCCUUUCAUGGCAAACCAGCACCCAAGAUAACAAGCAGGGCUUCAGAGGACCCAGCCCCAGCCACUCUGCCAAUGUCCAAGCCUGAGGUCAGCUUCACCCCUUACAAGUCUAGUGCUCCACCAGAGGGAUUCUACAGCCCCCCACUUCCUCAGGCAUAACUGCCAUCAUAUUUUGAAACCAUCUGCCUGCAGAAAACAGCAAUCCAUGUCCAUAGAAUUGGUCCACCACAGCCAAGUCCUCAUAGCCUGUGCUCUACACUUCACACCCGUGAAGCAACAAGGAGUAGGAAGAUCUUCAACCUAAACAGCUGAGGCAGGGCAUUGAGACAGGAACAACGCAGUCUGGACUGAGACAUCAAACAUGCAAAAGCACCUGUGAACUGUGGAGAGUUAAGAUAUAUUACUUCUUCCUGAAG
rnacentral:lncRNA from 1 species